rnacentral:rRNA from 1 species
UGGGGAAUUUUGGACAAUGGGCGAAAGCCUGAUCCAGCAAUGCCGCGUGUGUGAAGAAGGCCUUCGGGUUGUAAAGCACUUUUGUCCGGAAAGAAAUCCUUGGCUCUAAUACAGUCGGGGGAUGACGGUACCGGAAGAAUAAGCACCGGCUAACUACGUGCCAGCAGCCGCGGUAAUACGUAGGGUGCAAGCGUUAAUCGGAAUUACUGGGCGUAAAGCGUGCGCAGGCGGUUUGCUAAGACCGAUGUGAAAUCCCCGGGCUCAACCUGGGAACUGCAUUGGUGACUGGCAGGCUAGAGUAUGGCAGGAGGGGGGUAGAAUUCCACGUGUAGCAGUGAAAUGCGUAGAGAUGUGGAGGAAUACCGAUGGCGAAGGCAGCCCCCUGGGCCAAUACUGACGCUCAUGCACGAAAGCGUGGGGGGCAAACAGGAUUAGAUACCCUGGUAGUCCACGCCCUAAACGAUGUCAACUAGUUGUGGGGAUUCAUUCCUUAGUAACGUAGCUAACGCGUGAAGUUGACCGCCUGGGGAGUACGGUCGCAAGAUUAAAACUCAAAUGAAUUGACGGGGUCAUAGCUG